rnacentral:rRNA from 1 species
AUUGAACGCUGGCGGCAGGCCUAACACAUGCAAGUCGAACGAGUGGCGGACGGGUGAGUAAUGUCUGGGCAACUGCCUGAUGGAGGGGGAUAACUACUGGGAACGGUCGCUUAUACCGCAUACCAUCAGCUGUGCCCAGAUGGGAUUAGCUAGUUGGGGGGGAAACGGCUCACCAAGGCGACGACCCCUAGCUGGGGUGAGAGGAUGACCAGCCACACUGGAACUGAGACACGGCCCAGACUCCUACGUGAGGCAGCAGUGGGGAAUAUUGCACAAUGGGCGCAAGCCUGAUGCAGCCAUGCCGCGUGUGUGAAGAAGGCCUUCGGGUUGUAAAGUACUGUCAGCGGGGAGGCGGUACCCGCAGAAGAAGCACCGGCUAACUCCGGGCCAGCAGGCGCGGUAAUAC